GAUGAACGCUGGCGGCGUGCCUAAUACAUGCAAGUCGAGCGAACGGACGAGAAGCUUGCUUCUCUGAUGUUAGCGGCGGACGGGUGAGUAACACGUGGAUAACCUACCUAUAAGACUGGGAUAACUUCGGGAAACCGGAGCUAAUACCGGAUAAUAUUUUGAACCGCAUGGUUCAAAAGUGAAAGACGGUCUUGCUGUCACUUAUAGAUGGAUCCGCGCUGCAUUAGCUAGUUGGUAAGGUAACGGCUUACCAAGGCAACGAUGCAUAGCCGACCUGAGAGGGUGAUCGGCCACACUGGAACUGAGACACGGUCCAGACUCCUACGGGAGGCAGCAGUAGGGAAUCUUCCGCAAUGGGCGAAAGCCUGACGGAGCAACGCCGCGUGAGUGAUGAAGGUCUUCGGAUCGUUAAACUCUGUUAUUAGGGAAGAACAUAUGUGUAAGUAACUGUGCACAUCUUGACGGUACCUAAUCAGAAAGCCACGGCUAACUACGUGCCAGCAGCCGCGGUAAUACGUAGGUGGCAAGCGUUAUCCGGAAUUAUUGGGCGUAAAGCGCGCGUAGCGGUUUUUUAAGUCUGAUGUGAAAGCCCACGGCUCAACCGUGGAGGGUCAUUGGAAACUGGAAAACUUGAGUGCAGAAGAGGAAAGUGGAAUUCCAUGUGUAGCGGUGAAAUGCGCAGAGAUAUGGAGGAACACCAGUGGCGAAGGCGACUUUCUGGUCUGUAACUGACGCUGAUGUGCGAAAGCGUGGGGAUCAAACAGGAUUAGAUACCCUGGUAGUCCACGCCGUAAACGAUGAGUGCUAAGUGUUAGGGGGUUUCCGCCCCUUAGUGCUGCAGCUAACGCAUUAAGCACUCCGCCUGGGGAGUACGACCGCAAGGUUGAAACUCAAAGGAAUUGACGGGGACCCGCACAAGCGGUGGAGCAUGUGGUUUAAUUCGAAGCAACGCGAAGAACCUUACCAAAUCUUGACAUCCUUUGACAACUCUAGAGAUAGAGCUUUCCCCUUCGGGGGACAAAGUGACAGGUGGUGCAUGGUUGUCGUCAGCUCGUGUCGUGAGAUGUUGGGUUAAGUCCCGCAACGAGCGCAACCCUUAAGCUUAGUUGCCAUCAUUAAGUUGGGCACUCUAAGUUGACUGCCGGUGACAAACCGGAGGAAGGUGGGGAUGACGUCAAAUCAUCAUGCCCCUUAUGAUUUGGGCUACACACGUGCUACAAUGGACAAUACAAAGGGCAGCGAAACCGUGAGGUCAAGCAAAUCCCAUAAAGUUGUUCUCAGUUCGGAUUGUAGUCUGCAACUCGACUACAUGAAGCUGGAAUCGCUAGUAAUCGUAGAUCAGCAUGCUACGGUGAAUACGUUCCCGGGUCU
rnacentral:rRNA from 1 species